UACGGAGGGUGCAAGCGUUAUCCGGAUUCACUGGGUUUAAAGGGUGCGUAGGUGGGCAAGUAAGUCAGUGGUGAAAUCUCCGGGCUUAACCCGGAAACUGCCAUUGAUACUAUUUGUCUUGAAUACUGUGGAGGUCAGCGGAAUAUGUCAUGUAGCGGUGAAAUGCUUAGAUAUGACAUAGAACACCGAUAGCGAAGGCAGCUUACUACAGGAAGAUUGACGCUGAGGCACGAAAGCGUGGGUAGCGAAUGGG
rnacentral:rRNA from 1 species